AAAAAUCUCAUUAUUGGAAAUACACAUUUCUCCUCAAAAACCCCCAUUUAAGUGGAAAUCACCCCUUUUCUCUUCAAAAAUCCCCCAUUUAACAAAAAACAUCAUGCAUUUAAG
rnacentral:lncRNA from 7 species